rnacentral:sRNA from 1 species
GCCAGGUAUGGUGGUGGGUGCCUGUAAUCCCAAUUACUUGGGAGGUUGAGGCAGAGAAUUGCUUGAACCUGGGAGAUGCAGGUUGCAGUGAGUCAAGUUCGUGCCACUGCACUCCAGCCUGGGCGACAGAGUGAUUCUCUUUCUCAAAAAUAUAUACCUGUACAUAAGUCGAAUCUGUGUGUAUGUAUGUAUGGAGUGCAGUGGCACGAUCUUGGCUCACUGCAGCCUCUGCCUCCCAGGUUCAAGCAAUUAUCCUGCCUU